UACGAAGGGGGCUAGCGUUGCUCGGAAUCACUGGGCGUAAAGCGCACGUAGGCGGGUCUUUAAGUCAGGGGUGAAAUCCUGGAGCUCAACUCCAGAACUGCCUUUGAUACUGGGGAUCUCGAGUCCGGAAGAGGUGAGUGGAACUCCGAGUGUAGAGGUGAAAUUCGUAGAUAUUCGGAAGAACACCAGUGGCGAAGGCGGCUCACUGGUCCAGUACUGACGCUGAGGUGCGAAAGCGUGGGGAGCAAACAGG
rnacentral:rRNA from 1 species